rnacentral:rRNA from 1 species
GUGAAUCAUCGAAUCUUUGAACGCACCUUGCGCUCUCUGGUAUUCCGGAGAGCAUGCCUGUUUGAGUGUCAUGAACUCUUCAACCCUCCGGUUCCUUGUUGGACCGAGUAGGUGUUUGGAUUCUGACUGUUGCAGACUUAUUCUGCUCAGUCGUAAUACAUUAGCCCUCUCAAUUUUCGAACUUCGGAUUGACUCAGUCGUAAUUAGACUAUUCGCUGAGGACACCUCACGGUGGCCGAACAGUAGAUGACAGUAGAAGCUACCAAUCCAUCUAGUCAAUCUUAGAUUAGACCAUCAGAUCAGGCAGGAUUACCCGCUGAACUUAAGCAUAUACAAUAAGCCGGAG